rnacentral:rRNA from 1 species
AUGGCUCAGGACGAACGCUGGCGGCGUGCCUAAUACAUGCAAGUCGAGCGAACAGAGAAGGAGCUUGCUCCUUCGACGUUAGCGGCGGACGGGUGAGUAACACGUGGGCAACCUACCUUAUAGUUUGGGAUAACUCCGGGAAACCGGGGCUAAUACCGAAUAAUCUGUUUCACCUCAUGGUGAAACACUGAAAGACGGUUUCGGCUGUCGCUAUAGGAUGGGCCCGCGGCGCAUUAGCUAGUUGGUGAGGUAACGGCUCACCAAGGCGACGAUGCGUAGCCGACCUGAGAGGGUGAUCGGCCACACUGGGACUGAGACACGGCCCAGACUCCUACGGGAGGCAGCAGUAGGGAAUCUUCCACAAUGGGCGAAAGCCUGAUGGAGCAACGCCGCGUGAGUGAAGAAGGAUUUCGGUUCGUAAAACUCUGUUGUAAGGGAAGAACAAGUACAGUAGUAACUGGCUGUACCUUGACGGUACCUUAUUAGAAAGCCACGGCUAACUACGUGCCAGCAGCCGCGGUAAUACGUAGGUGGCAAGCGUUGUCCGGAAUUAUUGGGCGUAAAGCGCGCGCAGGUGGUUUCUUAAGUCUGAUGUGAAAGCCCACGGCUCAACCGUGGAGGGUCAUUGGAAACUGGGAGACUUGAGUGCAGAAGAGGAUAGUGGAAUUCCAAGUGUAGCGGUGAAAUGCGUAGAGAUUUGGAGGAACACCAGUGGCGAA